ensembl:lncRNA
GUUUUGAUGUCUUCACUAUUAUUUUACAAUGUAGAAAAUAGUUUAAAAAAAUAAAGAAAAACCCUGGAAUGAGUAGGUGUGUCCAAACUUUUGACUGGUACUGUAACUCAUCACAGUUAUGCACAUAGAUAUAUAAAUGAAACGCUCACCAAAGGGCCUACUCACACACUGUCCAUACGCACUGUCUAUAUACACAGACACACAUAGCCAAAUCUAGACUUUAAAUAAUUAAGCCCUAUACUGUAUGUAUAAUUUGCAUCAACAUCCGUUGUAAUGCUAUCAUCAGGACUUCCGUGACAAUUCCAGUCAUGCACACUACACUGUGUGUGUCUUCAAAAGAAACCAAACUGAACCAAAUGGGGAGGGACCUACCUGAAUAUGUCCAAUAGAAACUCUGGUAGCACUUUAUAGCAACUCCACGUAAUAAAGCAUUUGUAAUGGAUUAGUAAAUAGUUUAUUCAUUUUUUUUCUUAAUCAAUUCUCCAUUCAUAAGAUGUUUAAUAUAGGUCAUUGAAGCCAUUUGAAGAAUCAUUAGUUAUGUCGUUUUGCGUGGCCUCAUAUAAAUGGUGUGCAAUUUACACUUUAUAAAUACUUUAUAAAUGUUCUGAGUGACCAGUGUAAUUUCUCACAAAAAGAUGGACAUGCCAUUGGUAGACAGACGGUCCAGCUGUACCUGAUGCUCCUUAAUUAAGGUCUGAAACAUACAGUAUCAAUGGUAAAAGAACAAGUACACAACACAGGAUGUUUAAAGGUCCAAUACAGACGUUUUUAUCUCAAUAUCAAAUCAUUUCUGGGUAACAAUUAAGUACCUCACUGUGAUUGUUUUCAAUUCAAAUGGUCAAAAAGAAACAAAAAGUCGAUUCUUAGCAAACAGCAAUUUCUCAAGCAAGAAUUUUGCUAGUGGUCUGAGUGGGGAGGGGAAAACUUCAAAACUAGCUGAUAUUGGCAGAGAAUUUUGGAAGCUCUUAUACUAAAAGGGCAUUAUCAUAAUUUUCACAAUUUCACUGAAUUAUUCCAAUCUCAUAUUGUGGAAAUAUAUAUAAAACACAGGAAAAUCUAGUGUUUGACUGGAGUGGGCCUUUAAAUUAAGGAAAUAUAUCAAACAUUUUUAUUCACAAAAACUGUUGUAGGAAGAGGUGUAAUGUAGAGGUCUGCACCAGACUGAUUUAUUCAGCCCGCUCCUGCCUGCACCCGCUCUCGCCCACACCAGCAGUUUUUCAUACCGCUGCUGGCUUUCUGUCCGACUCCCACCCGCUACUGCAAGAACUGGUCCCGAACCCGCAAUGUUCUUUUAUGCUUAUGUGGCCCAGCUCACUCCAACCUGUCUCGCACAGGAAUGCAGCCCUCUAUUGUAACGUGAAUGUUUUGCUAAUCUUGUCAACCUCACAAACGCAAACGAGUCAUACAACUGGGAGAUGUAGCCUACACACACCAGCUGGCCAGAUCGGUUGUUCUCUCUUAUUCAUUCAUUACUACUGAUAGGCCUAUGUGAUUGAGGUAGAUAUGUUCCAUGUAUGAUUUGCAGAUAGAAAUGUGACAUGUAGAACUUUUAAAUGCUUCCAGUCUUUUAACCACACACUAUUUUCACACGGCUUUGUUUUUUGGCGACACUUUUACUGGGCCUUUAAAAUGUAGUCACUCUUUAAACAUAAUGGGAUAGUUCAGCUAAAUUAUGAAUUCAGGUAUUUGUUUCCCUACCUCGCAAGCUGUAUAUUGACUGACUGCUCCACGCGUUGGUUUUGGUAGAAAUGUCACUGCCAAGAAACGCUAAUGAUAGCAUUUUCAGACGAAAAAACGUUGUUCUACUCAGCAUAGAAUGUGUCUGAAGUUACACAUCGCACUAUUAUUACAACAUUGGGACUGUUUCGGAAUAAAAUGUUCAAUAUAUUUAAAAAUCCUCUGUAUUGUGUGCUUAUUGUUUAACCAUUGAUAUGUUCUAGGGGCCAUUUUGAGACCUGCAGCAGGUACUGCUAGAAUGUCUACCAAUGAAUGGCAUGUCCAUCUUUUAAUGAGAAAUUACACUGGUCACUCAAAGCGUUUAUAAAGUAUAAAUAGCCCACACUUUAGAUCAUGCCACGCAAAAAUACUUAACUAAUGAUUAGACAAUGGUUUAUACGGACCUAUAUUAAAAUUGUAUGAAUGAGUAAUGACUAAUAAAUGAUGCAUGAGCUAUUUUACUAAUCCAUUAUAAAUGCUCUAUUACAUGGAUUUAUUAAGUAAUACCGACACAUGUUUCCAUUGUGAAACGUUUUGCUACUGUACGGUGUGCACUAAUGAAUACACACUAUAUCUCUAACAAGCCAGGAUUGGGCCAGGAAACCAAUAGCCAGCUCUGGUAUAGAAGGGACUCCAUAACCUAAAUAUAGCAGGAGAAGCACUGUAAUAACCUCUUUAAGGAGAACUCUCUUUCAGGCGAACUAGUUUCUCAAGGUUUCUAUGGGGGGGGGGCUGGACGGCUCUGAAAUAUUUGUAACUGUAACUAUGAACUGCUCUGAAUAUUUGGAUAGAGUUUGAGAGUUUUUUUUUUUGGGGGGGCUGGACGGCUCUGAAAUAUUUGUAACUGUAACUAUGAACUGCUCUGAAUAUUUGGAUAGAGUUUGAGAGUUUUUGGGGAAAAGUAUGCUCUAUGCAGCAGCGCACACAAAGACGAAGGCUAGAUAGACUGCCCACUUACGGUCACAGGGCUGGCAAAUAAAUCUCUGUCUUUACUAUAACCUCAUCCUCUUGAUGAAUUCUGUAAAAAGCCCCCCCCUCCAGUUCUGACACGAGUGUUUCCUGCCCUGUUCGCCAUUCCCUUAAAAAACGUGAAUGCCAGGCUUCCACUGUAAACAAACGGUCGAUACAUGUGUGAUUUUUCUAUUAGGGUUUUAUAGGAAGCUCAUCGGAAUGCUGUAAGAUUUCUAUUAAUAAACACAUAUAAAGAUGUACUUACAUUGAGCUUCCCUUGUAUUCCAUAUUAACUUCUAACUAC